rnacentral:rRNA from 14 species
GGCCAUCGCUCAACGGAUAAAAGGUACUCUGGGGAUAACAGGCUGAUUCCUCCCAAGAGUUCAUAUCGACGGGGGAGUUUGGCACCUCGAUGUCGGCUCAUCACAUCCUGGGGCUGUAGUCGGUCCCAAGGGUAUGGCUGUUCGCCAUUUAAAGUGGUACGCGAGCUGGGUUUAGAACGUCGUGAGACAGUUCGGUCCCUAUCUGCCGUGGGCGUUGGAGAAUUGAUUGGGGCUGCUCCUAGUACGAGAGGACCGGAGUGGACGAACCUCUGGUGUUCCGGUUGUCACGCCAGUGGCAUUGCCGGGUAGCUAUGUUCGGAAGAGAUAACCGCUGAAAGCAUCUAAGCGGGAAACUUGCCUCAAGAUGAGAUCUCACUGGAACCUUGAGUUCCCUGAAGGGCCGUCGAAGACUACGACGUUGAUAGGUUGGAUGUG